GACGAACGCUUGCGGCGUGCUUAACACAUGCAAGUCGAACGGAAAGGCCCUGCUUUUGUGGGGUGCUCGAGUGGCGAACGGGUGAGUAACACGUGAGUAACCUGCCCUUGACUUUGGGAUAACUUCAGGAAACUGGGGCUAAUACCGGAUAGGAGCUCCUGCUGCAUGGUGGGGGUUGGAAAGUUUCGGCGGUUGGGGAUGGACUCGCGGCUUAUCAGCUUGUUGGUGGGGUAGUGGCUUACCAAGGCUUUGACGGGUAGCCGGCCUGAGAGGGUGACCGGCCACAUUGGGACUGAGAUACGGCCCAGACUCCUACGGGAGGCAGCAGUGGGGAAUAUUGCACAAUGGGCGGAAGCCUGAUGCAGCAACGCCGCGUGCGGGAUGACGGCCUUCGGGUUGUAAACCGCUUUCGCCUGUGACGAAGCGUGAGUGACGGUAAUGGGUAAAGAAGCACCGGCUAACUACGUGCCAGCAGCCGCGGUGAUACGUAGGGUGCGAGCGUUGUCCGGAUUUAUUGGGCGUAAAGGGCUCGUAGGUGGUUGAUCGCGUCGGAAGUGUAAUCUUGGGGCUUAACCCUGAGCGUGCUUUCGAUACGGGUUGACUUGAGGAAGGUAGGGGAGAAUGGAAUUCCUGGUGGAGCGGUGGAAUGCGCAGAUAUCAGGAGGAACACCAGUGGCGAAGGCGGUUCUCUGGGCCUUUCCUGACGCUGAGGAGCGAAAGCGUGGGGAGCGAACAGGCUUAGAUACCCUGGUAGUCCACGCUGUAAACGGUGGGUACUAGGUGUGGGGUCCAUUCCACGGGUUCCGUGCCGUAGCUAACGCUUUAAGUACCCCGCCUGGGGAGUACGGCCGCAAGGCUAAAACUCAAAGGAAUUGACGGGGCCCCGCACAAGCGGCGGAGCAUGCGGAUUAAUUCGAUGCAACGCGUAGAACCUUACCUGGGUUUGACAUGGAUCGGGAGUGCUCAGAGAUGGGUGUGCCUCUUUUGGGGUCGGUUCACAGGUGGUGCAUGGCUGUCGUCAGCCCGUGUCGUGAGAUGUUGGGUUAAGUCCCGCAACGAGCGCAACCCUUGUUCACUGUUGCCAGCACGUUAUGGUGGGGACUCAGUGGAGACCGCCGGGGUCAACUCGGAGGAAGGUGGGGAUGACGUCAAGUCAUCAUGCCCCUUAUGUCCAGGGCUUCACGCAUGCUACAAUGGCUGGUACAGAGAGUGGCGAGCCUGUGAGGGUGAGCGAAUCUCGGAAAGCCGGUCUCAGUUCGGAUUGGGGUCUGCAACUCGACCUCAUGAAGUCGGAGUCGCUAGUAAUCGCAGAUCAGCAACGCUGCGGUGAAUACGUUCCCGGGGCU
rnacentral:rRNA from 1 species